AACGAACGCUGGCGGCGUGCCUAAUACAUGCAAGUCGGGCGAGUUGCGAACGUGUGAGUAACGCGUGGUAACCUGCCUAUUAGUGGGUGAUAACUAUUGGAAACGAUAGCUCAUACCGCCUACUAGUAGAUUGACCUGCUUUGUAUUAGCGAGUAGGUAGUGUAAUGGCAUACCUAGGCGACGAUACAUAGCCGACCUGAGAGGGUGAUCGGCCAAACUGGAACUGAGACACGGUCCAGACUCCUACGGGAGGCAGCAGUGGGGAAUAUUGCACAAUGGGAGCAAGCCUGAUGCAGCCAUGCCGCGUGUAUGAAGAAGGCCUUCGGGUUGUAAAGUACUUUCAGCGGGGAGGCGUUAACCGCAGAAGAAGCACCGGCUAACUCCGUGCCAGCAGCCGCGGUAAUAC
rnacentral:rRNA from 1 species